UACAGAGGUCUCAAGCGUUGUUCGGAUUCAUUGGGCGUAAAGGGUAGGUAGGUGGUCUCAUUUGUCUGGGGUGAAAGCCUUGAGCUUAACUCAAGAAGUGCCCCAGAAACGGUGAGACUGGAGUCUUGGAGAGGGUCGUGGAAUUCCCGGUGUAGCGGUGAAAUGCGUAGAGAUCGGGAGGAACACCGGUGGCGAAGGCGGUGGUCUGGGCCGGCACUGACGCUGAGGAGCGAAAGCGUGGGGAGCAAACAGG
rnacentral:rRNA from 1 species